UGAAUUUUUUUUUUUUUUUUUUUUUUUUUUUUUUUUUUUUUUUUUCGUUUUCUCUACCUUUGAACUCCGCCUAUGUCUUACAUGGCCGGUCCCAAGCCCGGAUAAAGGAGGAGGGGGAGGGCGUCAGGUAGUCGACAGCCGGCACUCCAUGAUCACGUCGAAUCCUUAUGAAAAUGAAUCCAGAACAAAAUUGCGCUAAAGCUAGGGCGUCACCCGUAAGUGGCGCGCUGUGUGGCCCGAGCACAGUGAUAAGUGAGCAAGGGUCGCUGUAUCUCCAUCGGCACCCGGAUGCAGUGUUAAAUGAGCAAGGGGGCCAUAGAAACUUUUUUUCGAACGACUCCACUCAAAGUUGUUUGGGAGCAUAUGCUCCUAUCAACUUUACCCGGGACACACAAAAGAAGUACUUUUGAUCCUAUUAGACGGGGGAGGGUGAAGAAGCUAGGACAGAAGGGUAGAGUUCAAGAGAGCAAAAUGCGUUUAGGAACGUGGAAUAUAGGAACCUUAACGGGAAAAUCUAUGGAAGUAGUGGAAGUUAUGGUGAGGAGAAGGAUAAAUAUUAUGUGCCUACAAGAAACUAAGUGGGUUGGUAGUAAGGCAAAGGAUCUAGAAAACUCAGGGUUUAAACUUUGGUAUUCGGGCACAAAUAGAACGAGAAACGGUGUUGGCAUCAUCGUGGACAAGACCUUGGUACAAGAUGUUGUAGAUGUCAAGAGGGUAGGAGAUAGAAUCAUGGCAAUCAAGAUUGUAAUAGGACAAGAACUUAUCAAUGUGAUUAGUGCGUACGCACCUCAAGUAGGGUUGGAUACGAGUUCGAAGGAGAAAUUUUGGGAAGAUCUUGGAGACUUGGUGCAAGGAAUUGCUCAGACGGAGAAGUUAUUUAUAGGAGGAGAUUUAAAUGGACACGUGGGCAGGGAGACAGGCAACUAUGGAGGUUUUCAUGGUGGCCAUGGUUUUGGGGAGAGAAACGAGGAUGGGGAAGCUAUCUUGGAUUUUGCAAUGGCAUAUGAUCUCUUCUUAGCCAACACCUUCUUUAAGAAGAGAGAAGAACAUGUGAUUACCUACAAGAGUGGGUCGUCAAAAACACAAAUAGAUUUUCUUCUAAUGAGGAAAGGGGAUCGUAUAACUUGUAAGGAUUGCAAAGUUAUACCAGGAGAGAGCGUGGCUAAUCAACAUCGCUUGUUGGUGAUGGAUGUACAUAUCAAAAGAGUAAGACAAAAGAACAAGACUUGGAAGUGCCCAAGAACUAGAUGGUGGAAUCUAAAAGAAGAAAAACAAGCCAUUUUUCAAAGAGAAGGUAAUCACCCAAUGUGUGUGGGAUAGAGAGGGGGAAGCUAGCCAAAUGUGGGAUUCCAUGGCUAGUUGUAUCCGAAAAGUAGCAAAAGAGGUAUUAGGAGAGUCCAAGGGCUUUGCCCCACACCAAAAGGAAUCUUGGUGGUGGAAUGAGGAGGUACAAAUAAAGGUGAAGGCUAAGAAGGAAUGUUGUAAAGCCUUAUACAAGGAGAGGACCGAUGAAAAUGGUGAAAGGUAUAGAAAAGCGAAGCAAGAGGCGAAGAAAGCUGUCAGAGAGAAGCUAAGUUAGCGGCUUACGACGAUAUGUAUAAACGACUAGAUACCAAAGAAGGAGAGUUGGAUAUCUAUAAACUAGCUAGAGCAAGGGAAAAGAAGACAAGGGACCUAAACCAAGUGAGGUGCAUCAAGGAUGAGGAUGGAAAGGUUCUUGCUACAGAGAACGCGGUUAAAGACAGAUGGAGAGGUUAUUUUCAUAAUCUUUUCAAUGAAGGACAUGAAAGGAGUGCUUCUUUAGGGGAGUUGAGUAACUCAGAAGAGUGUAGAAACUACUCCUUUUAUCGUCGAAUCCGGAAGGAAGAAGUGGUUGUAGCUUUGAAGAAGAUGAAGCAUAGAAAAGCAAUAGGCCCAGACGAUAUACCAAUCGAAGUGUGGAAAGUUUUGGGAGAGACAGGUAUAACAUGGCUCACUGACCUUUUCAAUAGGAUUUUGAAAACGAAGAAGAUGCCAAAUGAGUGGCGAACGAGCACUUUGGUGCCUAUCUACAAGAAUAAGGGCGACGUACAAAAUUGCAUGAACUAUAGGGGUAUUAAGCUAAUGAGUCAUACAAUGAAGCUCUGGGAAAGAGUCAUUGAGCAUAGAUUGAGGCAAGAGACACGGGUUUCGGACAACCAAUUCGGGUUCAUGCCAGGGCGCUCAACCAUGGAGGCAAUCUAUCUCUUACGAAGAUUGAUGGAAAGAUAUAGAGAUGGGAAAAAGGAUUUACACAUGGUCUUUAUAGAUUUGGAAAAAGCGUAUGAUAGGGUCCCAAGAGACAUUCUUUGGAGGAUUUUAGAGAAGAAAGGAGUACGAGUAGCAUAUAUCCAAGCUAUAAAGGAUAUGUAUGAAGGAGCAAAGACCGCCGUAAGAACUCAUGAAGGACAAACCGAAAGCUUUCCCAUAACUGUAGGAUUACAUCAAGGCUCAUCCUUAAGUCCUUACCUUUUUGCGUUGGUAAUGGAUGAGUUAACAGGACAUAUUCAAGAUGAUAUUCCUUGGUGUAUGCUUUUCGCAGACGAUAUAGUGUUGAUAGAUGAAACUCAGGAAGGGGUAAAUGCAAAGCUUAACCUUUGGAGAGAAGUGUUGGAAUCUAAAGGUCUUCGCCUAAGCCGAUCAAAAGACAGAAUAUAUGGAGUGCAAGUUCAGUGCAAAUGGAGGCCAAAACGAGUUAGGGGUGAGGAUCGGAGAUCAAGAAAUACCAAAGAGCGACCGUUUUCGUUACCUAGGAUCUAUCUUGCAAAAGAACGGAGAAUUAGAUGGAGAUCUCAACCAUAGAAUACAAGCUGGAUGGAUGAAGUGGAAGAGUGCAUCCGGCGUGUUGUGUGACCGCCGUAUGCCACUGAAGCUCAAGGGAAAAUUUUUAUAGGACGGCAAUAAGGCCGGCAAUGCUGUAUGGCACAGAAUGUUGGGCGGUGAAACAUCAACACGUACACAAAAUGGGUGUAGCGGAGAUGAGGAUGCUUCGUUGGAUGUGUGGGCACACGAGAAAGGAUAAGAUUAGGAAUGAGGAUAUCCGGGGUAAAGUAGGAGUAGCCGAAAUUGAAGGAAAGAUGAGAGAAAAUCGGUUACGGUGGUUUGGACAUGUGCAAAGAAGGCCUACUGACGCUCCGAUUAGAAGAUGCGACUAUGGGACAGAGGUUCAGGGCCGAAGGGGUAGAGGAAGACCUAGGAAAACUUUGGAAGAGACUCUAAGAAAAGACUUAGAGUACUUGGAUCUAACGAAGGACAUGACACAGGAUCGAGCACAAUGGCGUUCUAAGAUUCAUAUAGCCGAUCCCACUCAGUGACUUGGAUUUUCCAAGUCUCCAACCGAGAAGUUUUCCUCACUCGGGAAAUUAAGGGAACACUACCCCAACCUACAUGCUCCACUCAGAAAGCUUCAACAUACAAGCUUCAACAAAAGAAAAUUCAAAGAACUUAGCGAAGAAGGCUUUGGUGUAUUUAACACAAUACGUUGAAAUGAAGGAAAGCUUAUUUAUUGAUAUCCCCGAUAAGCUACAAAUAUGUACAUAUACAUGAGUCAAAAUAAACACACAAGAGGGAGCCUUCACAAAGGUUGCUUAGGAGAAGUCUCAGCAGUCGGUAGAGCCCCAGAAAGAGAAGGCACCGGAGGGGGAUCAUUUGGAGCCUCAGUACUGGACAGAACCCUAGAAGGAGGAGGCAUCAGAGGUUGAUCAUUUGGAGCUUCAUUACGCGGUACAGCCCCAGAAGACGAAGGCAAUAAAUGCCUUUGGAACAAACCCACAAAUCUCUGAUGAUCAAGUAAAACCUGACCAUCAGUUUCCUUCAUCUGGUCAAGCUUCCUCUUCAUGUUUGUAGCAUAGUCAUGUGCGAGCCGGUGCAACUGUUUAUUCUCAUGCUUGAGCCCUCUAAUCUCCUGUUUGAGACUCAUCACUUCAGCCGCCAAUGAUUCAACUUGGCGGGUUCGAGCAAAUAGGCGUUGGGCCAUAUUAGACACAGAACCUGCACACUGAACACUGAGAGCCAGCGAAUCCUUAACAGCUAACUCAUCAGACCGUUUGGAAAGUAGUCUGUUAUCUUUGGGAGUGAGAAGGUUCCUGGCCACCACCGCAGCGGUCAUAUCAUUCUUCAUCACGGAAUCCCCAACGGUAAGAGGACCAGUAGGGGAGACGAAGGAUGGGCGCCAUAUGUUGUCUGGAGAAGGCGGGGCUGCCUCUUCAACAAGGUUCAAGUCAAAACGACGGUCGGAGGGGCCAGACAUUUUCAAAGGUGUUGAAGAGAGAAGAGGUCGGACAAAUCAAGAUCUUAGAAGUGCAAGAAUGAAGCUUCUACUGGUGGAGAUUCAAGUGUGCUUUGGAACUUAAUGCCAGCCCCUAUAAAAAUCUGCACUCGACGGAGCUUCAGAAAUCGAAGAGGGCGCCUGCUCAGAAAUCGAAGAGGCGUUUGCUUUCUCAAAAGCUGGGCUGCUUAGAGAUCACGAGGGUUGAUCUCAGAAAUCGAAGAGCGUUUGCUUUCUCAAAAGUUGGGCUGCUCAAAGACCACGAAGGCCGAUCUCAGAAAUCGAAGAGGCGCUCGCUUUCUCAAAAGCUGGGCUCCCCAGAGACCACGAGGGCCGAUCUCAGAAAUCGAAGAGGCACCUACUUUUCCAGCCUUGUCAGCACCUGUCACACACGCACACUCAGCUUUGCGGAAAUUAUGGGCAUUCUGUCAAAGACUUCUGGGGAAGUAGAAAACACAUGAAUCUUACUGUUCAAUCACCCACUUCCCACACGCAACAAUAGCUCAUGGGUACCACAGAUAACUUUGCCAAAGUUCUCUGCCAAAGUUGAGCACGUGAAGCUUGCAGCUCCCACUACAUCGCUCUGACCAAGAAGGGUAAAAGAAUAGCAAAGAAACAGCACUAACAAAGUUUAGACCCAUAAAUUUUGAAGGUCUAGCUACCAUAUUAUUACCCACAAGGGUAAAGGAACAGUACCACUGCUGGAUAAUUGGAAAGUCCCUGUGUGUCAACCUCUGUGCUUCGUGGCAAGGUAGACUAGCAAACAUGCCCAACCUUUACUCACAUUCGAGAAAACACUCCCAAUAAGAUUGCUUGCUCCAAAAUCGAAGAGGCACCGUCCUCCGAAUCUCGAGAGCCAGACUCCCAACAUGACUACUUUCUUAAAAAUCGAAGAGAGGGUAAAGGAACAGUACCAUUGCUGGAUAAUUGGAAAGUCCCUGUGUGUCAACCUCUGUGCUUCGUGGCAAGGUAGACUAGCAAACAUGCCCAACCUUUACUCACAUUCGAGAAAACACUCCCAACAAGAUUGCUUGCUCCAAAAUCGAAGAGGCACCGCCCUCCGAAUCUCGAGAGCCAGACUCUCCCAACAUGAUUACUUUCUCAAAAAUCGAAGAGACACUGCUCCCCGAAUCUCGAGAGCCAGACCCCCAGCAUGAUUGCUUUCUCAAAAAUCGAUGAGGCAUCGUUCUCCGAAUCAAUCGAAGAGGCGCUCGCUUUCUCAAAAGCUGGGCUGCUCAGAGACCACGAGGGCCGAUCUCAGAAAUCGAAGAGGCACCUACUUUUCUAGCCUGUCAGCACCUGUCACACGCACACUCAGCUUUGCAGAAAUUAUGGGCAUUCUGUCGAAGACUUCUGGUGAAGUAGAAAGCACAUGAAUCUUUACUGUUCAAUCACCCACUUCCCACACGCAACAAUAGCUCAUGGGUACCACAGAUAACUUUGCCAAAGUUCUCUGCCAAAGUUGAGCACGUGAAGCUUGCAGCUCCCACUACAUCGCUCUGACCAAGAAAGGUAAAAGAAUAGCAAAGAAACAGCACUAACAAAGUUUAGACACAUAAAUUUUGAAGGUCUAGCUACCAUAUUAUUACCCACAAGGGUAAAGGAACAGUACCACUGCUGGAUAAUUGGAAAGUCCCUGUGUGUCAACCUCUGUGCUUCGUGGCAAGGUAGACUAGCAAACAUGCCCAACCUUUACUCACAUUCGAGAAAACACUCCCAACAAAGAUUGCUUGCUCCAAAAUCGAAGAGGCACCGUCCUCCGAAUCUCGAGAGCCAGACUCCCAACAUGACUACUUUCUCAAAAUCGAAGAGAGGGUAAAGGAACAGUACCAUUGCUGGAUAAUUGGAAAGUCCCUGUGUGUCAACCUUUGUGCUUCGUGGCAAGGUAGACUAGCAAACAUGCCCAACCUUUACUCACAUUCGAGACAACACUCCCAACAAGAUUGCUUGCUCCAAAAUCGAAGAGGCACCGCCCUCCGAAUCUCGAGAGCCAGACUCCCAACAUGAUUACUUCCUCAAAAAUCGAAGAGACACUGCUCUCCGAAUCUCGAGAGUCAGACCCCCAACAUGAUUGCUUUCUCAAAAAUCGAAGAGGCAUCGUUCUCCCGAAUCUCGAGAGCCAGAUACCACAGACCACUUUUUCAAAGUGCUCUGACAGAGUUAAAACAUGUGAAACUGGCAGCUCCCACUACCGUGCUAUGACCAAGCAGGGUAAAGGAAUAGCAUUACUACUUGUUGUUAGGGAGACUCCUAUAUAUGUCGACCUCCAUCCCCAACGGACAGGCAGACCUGCAAAAAUGCUCAACCCUUCAUCAUAUCUGAGAGGGCACUCCCAACGAAAGCCUUUCGAAAUAUUCAGCUUUCUUUCCCCCCGAUAAUACCUCUGCAAACAAGCUAUACUAGAGCAAGAAUAUCUCAUAUCAUCAUCAGGGUUAAAAGCAAGAGUAUCCCAUAUCAUGCUUUUUCCCUGUUUUUUUCUUUUGGCCUUGUUUUUACCUGCAAGACAAGGAGAAAGAGAGCAAUCAGUCAGCACUUGGAAUCAAGCUUCCAGCCAGGAACUGACUGCCUGGAACCCCUUACCUGAUUACUUACCUGGCAUUGCUCUCGAGUACUCAUCUUCAACAUCUUAUGUUUCCAGGGAAGAUUCCGCAUCUGCUUGAGGAACAGAUAGGGCAAGUGCGAAGGAUACAAGGAAGCAUGUGGAGACAAGCGUAACAGCACACGUGCCGAUACAUCCAUUACUCUGUCAAAAGCAAAAGUAUCCCAUAUCAGCAGGGUGGAACGUACUCUAGAUUUGAUGGACUUGUUUUGACCCUCAAAUUCUUCAGUCGGCCUUAUACUCUGGAGGAAACCAGAAAACCCUCCAGCUCAGUUCAAGAAUAAGCCUGUGGAAAGUUACUUCUUCAAAAGCAAAAGUAUCUCAUAUCAUCUCUUCUCAUUUUUCUUCUCUUUAUCCUUCAUGCUGCUGCAAGAUGGGGAGAAGGUGAACAAUCAGUCGGAGCUCUGAUUGCUUACCUUGUCUGUCACCUCUUUCAGCAGACCCCCUAGCUCGGCGACUUGGGGGACUCCUACUACAUGGUUUGUAUCGCGCUUGACCAAGCCUGAAACUACAAGUAAGCUUCAAGUGAAAUUGAUACAUUACCUUGUGCAUCUCCACCAGUUAAAGAUACCACCCCUGGAUGGAGGAAGAGUACUUCCAGAGAAGAUGCCACAUCUACCUAUGAGACAGAUAAGGCAAGUCAAGACGACACCACACUCCGAUACUUAGAAGUUUCGUGAUUACGAGAUCAUUCUCCCACAAUAUUUUCCUAAUGUCAUUUGUACUAAAUCAUUCACUUGUACUCACUAAAGGAGAGCUUGAACCUAUGUACUUGUGUAAACCCUUCACAAUUAAUGAGAACUCUUCUAUUCCGUGGACGUAGCCAAUCUGGGUGAACCACGUACAUCUUGUGUUUGCUUUCCUAUCUCUAUCCAUUUAUAUACUUAUCCACACUAAUGACCGGAGCAAUCUAGCGAAGAUCACAAAAAGCGACCGUUUUCGUUACCUAUGAUCUAUCUUGUAAGAGAACGGAGAAUUAGAUGGAGAUCUCAACCAUAGAAUACGAGCUGGAUGGAAAAGAAGAGUGCAUCCGGCGUGUUGUGUGACCGUCGUAGGCCACUGAAGCUCAAGGGAAAAUUUUUAUAGGACGGCAAUAAGGCCAGCGAUGUUGUAUGGCAGAGAAUGUUGGGUGGUGAAGCAUCAACACGUACACAAAAUGGGUGUAGCGGAGAUGAGGAUGCUUCGUGGGAUGUGUGGGCACACGAGAAAGGAUAAGAUUGGGAAUGAGGAUAUCCGAGGUACAGUAGGAGUAGCCGAAAUUGUAGGAAAGAUGAGAGAAAAUCGGCUCUGGUGAUUUGGACAUGUGCAAAGAAGGCCGACUGACGCUCCGGUUCGAAGAUGUGACUACGGGACAGAGGUUCAGGGCCGAAGGGGUAGAGGAAGACCUAGGAAAACUUUGGAAGAGACUCUAAGAAAAGACUUAGAGUACUUGGAUCUAACGGAGGAUAUGACACAAAACCGAGCGCAAUGGCGUUCUAGGAUUCAUAUAGCCGACCCCACUUAGUGGGAAAAGGCUUUGUUGUUGUUGUUGUUGUUGUUCUCUACCUUUGAACUAUUGAUGCAUGUAUCAAGACUGUUCAGACAGCCGACCCCGCUUAGUAGGAUAAAACUUGGUGGUGGUUGUUUGUUUCCUUUUUUUUUUCCUUGAAUGAAUUGUUGCCUUGUGUCAGUGUAGAUCAAUGACACUAAAAGCAUAAUUGGGUUGUUACCCUAAAUUGUAAUUGUUGGUCUACUGCCUUCCGAAGCAAGCUCGGACUUAAUUAGAGUACUUGGAAAGUUUAGGCUGCCUAGUAAUAUUCUGUUGAGAUUAGUUUCUUCUUAUGGGUGUGGGUAACUAUGAUCCAGUUGACCUGUUUAGUGUUUACCUAAGGUCAAGCAUACGUGUGUAGUUGAUUUAUUGUGGUUCGAUCUGUGUCUUCUCUGGUUAACCCGUUUAUGUAUGUCCUGAAAUAUUACAAAUGUACCAUGAUAUGUGUGUCAUUGAUUAGUCAUAUGUUGAUCUUAGUUUCUAUUGCUAGGUUGUUGGUGGUUGCAAAUGCUGGAGAUUGUCGAGCAGUGCUGUGCCGCCGUGGAAAAGCAAUUGAAAUGUCAAGAGAUCACAAACCAAUUUGCAGCAAAGAGAAACAACGGAUCGAGGCAUCUGGAGGACAUGUGUAUGAUGGUUAC
rnacentral:lncRNA from 1 species